UAUUGUGAUGAUACUAUACCAAUUUCAUCUUUCCAUUGAGUUUUUCCAAAAAAAAAGACUAUGAAAAGAACUUCACUAAAAUUCGAUUUGCAUGUCAGUCUGAUU